GAUGAACGCUGGCGGCGUGCCUAAUACAUGCAAGUCGAGCGAACAGACGAGGAGCUUGCUCCUCUGACGUUAGCGGCGGACGGGUGAGUAACACGUGGAUAACCUACCUAUAAGACUGGGAUAACUUCGGGAAACCGGAGCUAAUACCGGAUAAUAUAUUGAACCGCAUGGUUCAAUAGUGAAAGACGGUUUUGCUGUCACUUAUAGAUGGAUCCGCGCCGCAUUAGCUAGUUGGUAAGGUAACGGCUUAUCAAGGCAACGAUGCGUAGCCGACCUGAGAGGGUGAUCGGCCACACUGGAACUGAGACACGGUCCAGACUCCUACGGGAGGCAGCAGUAGGGAAUCUUCCGCAAUGGGCGAAAGCCUGACGGAGCAAUGCCGCGUGAGUGAUGAAGGUCUUCGGAUCGUAAAACUCUGUUAUUAGGGAAGAACAAAUGUGUAAGUAACUAUGCACGUCUUGACGGUACCUAAUCAGAAAGCCACGGCUAACUACGUG
rnacentral:rRNA from 1 species